GAUGAAGAACGUAGCGAAAUGCGAUACUUGGUGUGAAUUGCAGAAUCCCGUGAACCAUCGAGUCUUUGAACGCAAGUUGCGCCUCAAGCCAUUAGGUUGAGGGCACGUCUGCCUGGGCGUCACAUAUCGUUGCCUGAUGCCAGUUUCCUCGUGAUGGGUGACUGUGCAGGGCGAAUGAUGGCUUCCCGUGAGCAUUGUUGCCUCAUGGUUGGUUGAAAAUUGAGUCCUUGGUAGGGAGCGCCGUGAUAGAUGGUGGUUGAGUGACGAACGAGACCCAAUCAUGUGAGACCCCUACCGAAUUUGGCCUUCAUGACCCACAUGCGUCUUUGGAACGCUCAUGACGAGACCUCAGGUCAGGCGGGGCUACCCGCUGAGUUUAAGGAUAUCAAUAAGCGGAGGA
rnacentral:misc_RNA from 1 species